CGAGAAGGACUGGAAAUGAGUUCCGGGAACUUUGGUUCCCUUUCAAGUUGUUCCCUGGGAAUUAAGGGGCUCCUAUGAUAAAAAGGAUAUAUAAUUUUCCAGAAAUGACGUUUUUACAGCUCUAAGCUUGCAGAGACUACUAAAUUGUCAUGGCUAAUAGCUCUUGUCCAAUCCCAUUCUAAGUAGGCCAAACUGGAUGAAAAUCAGGAAAGUCAGCAAGCAGCCCCAAAAUACACACCAUCAAUUUCACUGAGUGGGAUCUGUCCAAAAAUUUGCAAGUAAGGUCGAUAGAAAACACGUCGAAAUAUCCAAGGG